AAUAAAAUUGAGAAUGGAAAUGGGGAAUGUGUCAAAGAGACAACAACCCAACCAUAGAAAAAACAACAGCAGAAGGUCACCAACAGGUCUUCAAUGUAGCGAGAAAUUCCAGCACCUGGAGGCGUGCUUCAGCUGGCCCCUAAACAAAUAUACUAGUUCAGUGAUGACUAGCCAAAUUAAUAUUAUUCAAGGUGUUGGGUACCACCUUAAAGUAUAUACUAGAUGGUGUCACUAAAAUGUGUAUAAGAUUUUCACAAUAUUGUUCGAAAAA
rnacentral:lncRNA from 1 species